rnacentral:rRNA from 1 species
UCGAUCAUACCAGCACUAAUGCACCGGAUCCCAUCAGAACUCCGAAGUCAAUCGUGCUUGGGCGAGAGUAAUACUAGGAUGGGUGACCCACAGGGAAGUCCUCGUGUUGCACCCC